GUCUACGGCCACGCCACCCUGAACAAGCCCGACCCCGUCUGAUCUCGGAAGCUAAGCAGGGUCGGGCCUGGUUAGUACUUGGAUGGGAGACCACCUAGGAAGACCGGGUGCUGUAGGCG
rnacentral:rRNA from 1 species